UGGCUGAGAUGGUAAAGCGUCUGUCUGCAAUGCAGGAGACCUGGGUUCCAUCCCUG
rnacentral:tRNA from 1 species